rnacentral:rRNA from 1 species
CUUAACACAUGCAAGUCGAGGGGCAGCAUGGUCUUAGCUUGCUAAGGCCGAUGGCGACCGGCGCACGGGUGAGUAACACGUAUCCAACCUGCCGUCUACUCUUGGACAGCCUUCUGAAAGGAAGAUUAAUACAAGAUGGCAUCAUGAGUCCGCAUGUUCACAUGAUUAAAGGUAUUCCGGUAGACGAUGGGGAUGCGUUCCAUUAGAUAGUAGGCGGGGUAACGGCCCACCUAGUCUUCGAUGGAUAGGGGUUCUGAGAGGAAGGUCCCCCACAUUGGAGCUGAGACACGGUCCAAACUCCUACGGGAGGCAGCAGUGAGGAAUAUUGGUCAAUGGGCGAGAGCCUGAACCAGCCAAGUAGCGUGAAGGAUGACUGCCCUAUGGGUUGUAAACUUCUUUUAUAAAGGAAUAAAGUCGGGUAUGGAUACCCGUUUGCAUGUACUUUAUGAAUAAGGAUCGGCUAACUCCGUGCCAGCAGCCGCGGUAAUACGGAGGAUCCGAGCGUUAUCCGGAUUUAUUGGGUUUAAAGGGAGCGUAGAUGGAUGUUUAAGUCAGUUGUGAAAGUUUGCGGCUCAACCGUAAAAUUGCAGUUGAUACUGGAUAUCUUGAGUGCAGUUGAGGCAGGCGGAAUUCGUGGUGUAGCGGUGAAAUGCUUAGAUAUCACGAAGAACUCCGAUUGCGAAGGCAGCCUGUUAAGCUGCAACUGACAUUGAGGCUCGAAAGUGUGGGUAUCAAACAGGAUUAGAUACCCUGGUAGUCCACACGGUAAACGAUGAAUACUCGCUGUUUGCGAUAUACUGCAAGCGGCCAAGCGAAAGCGUUAAGUAUUCCACCUGGGGAGUACGCCGGCAACGGUGAAACUCAAAGGAAUUGACGGGGGCCCGCACAAGCGGAGGAACAUGUGGUUUAAUUCGAUGAUACGCGAGGAACCUUACCCGGGCUUAAAUUGCAGAUGAAUUACGGUGAAAGCCGUAAGCCGCAAGGCAUCUGUGAAGGUGCUGCAUGGUUGUCGUCAGCUCGUGCCGUGAGGUGUCGGCUUAAGUGCCAUAACGAGCGCAACCCUUGUUGUCAGUUACUAACAGGUUCCGCUGAGGACUCUGACAAGACUGCCAUCGUAAGAUGUGAGGAAGGUGGGGAUGACGUCAAAUCAGCACGGCCCUUACGUCCGGGGCUACACACGUGUUACAAUGGGGGGUACAGAGGGCCGCUACCACGCGAGUGGAUGCCAAUCCCCAAAACCUCUCUCAGUUCGGACUGGAGUCUGCAACCCGACUCCACGAAGCUGGAUUCGCUAGUAAUCGCGCAUCAGCCACGGCGCGGUGAAUACGUUCCCGGGCCUUGUACACACCGCCCGUCAAGCCAUGGGAGCCGGGGGUACCUGAAGUGCGUAACCGCGAGGAGCGCCCUAGGGUAAAACUGGUGACUGGGGCUAAGUCAU